CACAUUAGGUCAAAAUCACAUAUGAAAAUGAAUCAACAUCAGGUCAAAGUCACGUAUGAAAAUGAAUCAACAUCAGGCAAAGUCACGUAUGAAAAUCAGUCAACAUUAAUCAAUUUAAAACAGUAUUGAAGUGAAUUAACAAUGGAAAAAUAGGUUUUCUACGUCAUCUUGCACUAUCAUUCGCUCGUAGUGCGCUGAAUGUAACCAAUAUACAUAUAAGCGUCUGUAAUAUCGGAUAGCUGGCAUAUCAUUUCGUAAAAUGACAGUGGAAAGAACUGUGUAUUGAAUCUGACUAUUGUAUAGUAUUUUGUGAAUAUAAUAUCUGUUUCACUAUUUUGUAAAACUGUUUUCCUCUUGUCAUAGUCCACAUAUCAAACGCAAAUUAUUCCGUUUUGAUUAAUUAAUUUAUUUUGGAUGCGCUACACAUCCUUAUUAUCAAAGAAGGGAAAAGAAACAAAAGCGGCGUUAGAACUGAUAUAAAACGACAACUCCAUUAAUUGUAAAAUGCUGUUUAAUCCAUACAACGUUGCAGUUACGAAGAAAAACCCGAAGAGAUGAAAAGACGAAGAAAAAGUAACAUAGACUGUAUCCCGAUAUUCACAUAUACUGUUCCCUUACUGAAAAUCUGUAGUGUACGUGACAAACUGUAGAUUUUCAGUACUGACAGUAAAUAUCGGAACGCAGUCAUAAAAGUUUUAAUACGUAAAACAGCAAUAUUACGCACAUGUAAUGUGCGAAUGAUCAAAGGGACACAAUCGAUAUUAAAUUUCACAAAGAAUAACUUGCGAUACGUGGCGAGAAAUUCACAGAAUUUUGUUAUUAUUAGAAGUGACCUUAUCUCUCGUCUUAUCUGCACUGCAUUGCGUAUGAUGGAUCUCAAGUUACAUAUCACAUUGCAAAUCUGAAUCUGAUGAGUCUCGCUAACGAUAAACGCCACAACGUCUCUAGGAAACGUUCGCGAACGAAACUUUUAGAGAGAAGAAUGAAUAUUAUAUGUUAACAAGGUUGUAAUGCGGAAAUAAGAAAGAAGCAUUUCAAUAAAAUUCCAUCGAAAAAGAUGGAAGAUAGAAAUAUAGAUGACUCAGCUUUUCCGCAUACGAGGACAAUUUAAGAGCGCUAAUUUUCUUUAUAUAGAUCCAAAUAACUUGAUAAAGAAGUACUAAGGUUGAGAAACCGAAUAUUUCAUAAAAGGAAAGGAUAAAGUGUGAACUAUUUUGCGACGUUUAAGGGAUUCGUGAGGGACCCAGGUAUUCACAAAAAUACAAUACAAAAUAUGUGGAAAGGACGUCAGGUACAAAAACCCGUUGCCUCUCCCUAAUUUUUAUGAGUUCUGGGAUCAGCAUAGCUCUACUCUUGAAUGCAUUUCCAAUAUUAUGUGUAUAUGCAUUUUGAAUGAUAGAAAUGCAUAUAUAAUGCAUCUAAAAUGAAUAUUUUUAAAUAUUCUUUUGCAAACGCGCAUACGUUGGAUAAAGUAUACGUUUUUCAAUGUACUAAAUUAUACUUAGCAACAUAAAAAAUAUAUCUGUUUACAAAUAUUAGAUAAAUAGGCACAGCAUAAGUCGAUGGUCAGUCGAUGCGUUAUACAGGGUGGGCCAUUUUAAUCCGUACAAGAUAACAUCUCCUCAGUUUAUGAUAUCUCGAUAUCCUCGAUAGCCGUGGGCGGACCUUUUCAAACACGUCAUUGUGCUGUAACCCAAGGGGAGUGCUGUGACCACUUACAGAAAAAGAAAAUCGGCAAAUAUAAUCUCUUAAAGUUUUAUUUUAUUAAAACAACGCAGUUCUUUACAGUGCCUUUCUUAGGACCCCAAUUAUUAGUACCUAAAAUGGUUGGCUAAGAGGAUAUAAGUAACGAAGAUGAUAUAUAAUAAUUAUUUUAUUUAUAAUGGUUUCAUUUAAGACACAGAUAUUUUUUUAUGAUACUUAACUCAGUCACGUAAAUGUAUAAAAAAUAAUUUCUUAAUUUAAUCGUUAGUAUCAUGCAACAUAUAUUUUGUGUGUAUAGUAAAGUGUAUAAAAUAAUAUAUACAUUAUUUUAAUGAUUAAUAAGAACUAGAAAUGGUUCAGACUUGUGAACUUUGCGAAAUGGUGGUUCCCAUUAGACGUUUUUUAUUCUUUUCUUUUCUUUUUAAAUUUAUUAUUUUUAAACAUUUUGUUUGCCACUCGUGAUAUCUUUGAUUAAAUGACAUUUCUUCAAACCAAAUUAAGAUUAGUUAACUUAAACUCGACGCAAUACAGUGCACUGACGCUCAAACUUGGAUACAAGGCUCUUUUGACGUUUAAGACAAUACUUCAGAUGAUUUUGAAAUUAGAAUCGACUAUGAAUACCGGCCAUAGUCAGUGUGACAGGAUUUUAUAUCAAA